CAAGAUUUUGUGCAGUGGUUGAUGAAUACCAAGAGGAACAGGAAUAACAUUGCCAAACGUCACGAUGAAUUUGAGAGACAUGCUGAAGGGACCUUUACCAGUGAUGUAAGUUCUUAUUUGGAAGGCCAAGCUGCCAAGGAAUUCAUUGCUUGGCUGGUGAAAGGCCGAGGAAGGCGAGAGUAAGUCUGUACAUUCUUAUUUGACAUUUUUUGCCUUGAUGCAGAAAAUUUAAGACUACAGUUAUCUAUAUAUGGAUCUGGAUUACAGAAGCAAUUAGUAGUCUUGCAAAGUAAGGAAAUAAUUCCUAUUGAUGAGAAACAGUAUAUAAAAGUUGAAUCCAUUUUGUUUUUGGUACUAAGUAUUAAUAAUAGAGCCAAACAGGUUACAUUUUUAUCCCCUUAUAGUUGCAUUCUAAUUAGGUAUUAAAUCUUUGGCCAAACCAGGCCACCUCUGAGAGUAAAUAAGAUGUUUUUAAUAACUACACUGAGACAAAUUUAAACUAGGACUGUUCUAGGGGAGCUAGAGAUAAGGAAAAAGAAGAAACAGUGCUGAAAACUUCAAAUAUGUAAAGAAAACAUGUAAUAUUUAAAGCUUAACUUUAAACAUUUACAUAUGUGAUCAACACAUAUUUAUAUGUUAAUAAAUAUUCAGAUAAAAAUGUGAUGAAGACUGAAAGUGACCAAACAUAAGAUGUUGAUAAAAUGAUAUUCAAAGUACAAAUAGAUAAAAACAUCCAUAUAUUUAACUACAUAUCCGAUUUUGUAUGGGGCUGUCAUACAGAUAUCUAUUAAAUAUUCAAAGUUGAAAAACAACCAAGACCAUUAAUUACUUGCUUGGAUCUUAACACAGCCAAACAGACCCCUGCACCAUUUCAUUUUCUUCUGAUUUUUUUGGAGAGAUGAAAUAUGAGAGACGGAGAAUUUAUGUUCAACUCUGAUUUUUAAAUUAGAUUUAAAACAAGCUUACUGAAAUUUAAAGAGAUCUCAAGAUGAAAGAGAACUAGCAUAAUGGUUGGUUUUUAAA
rnacentral:sRNA from 1 species